GUGGGGAAUAUUGGGCAAUGGGGGAAACCCUGACCCAGCAACGCCGCGUGAAGGAAGAAGGUUUUCGGAUCGUAAACUUCUAUCCUUGGUGAAGAUAAUGACGGUAGCCAAGAAGGAAGCCCCGGCUAACUACGUGCCAGCAGCCGCGGUAAUACGUAGGGGGCAAGCGUUGUCCGGAAUGAUUGGGCGUAAAGGGCGCGUAGGCGGCCUGGUAAGUCUGGAGUGAAAGUCCUGCUUUUAAGGUGGGAAUUGCUUUGGAUACUGUCGGGCUUGAGUGCAGGAGAGGUAAGCGGAAUUCCCGGUGUAGCGGUGAAAUGCGUAGAGAUCGGGAGGAACACCAGUGGCGAAGGCGGCUUACUGGACUGUAACUGACGCUGAGGCGCGAAAGUGUGGGGAGCAAACAGGAUUAGAAACCCUUGUAGUCC
rnacentral:rRNA from 1 species